GCGCUCGCUUCAGCAGCACAUACACUAAAAUUGGAAUGAUACAGAGACAAUUAGGAUGGCCUCUGCACAAGGAUGACAUACAAAUUCAUGAAGUGUUCCAUAUUUAA